rnacentral:rRNA from 1 species
UGGGGAAUAUUGGACAAUGGGCGAAAGCCUGAUCCAGCAAUGCCGCGUGAGUGAUGAAGGCCUUAGGGUUGUAAAGCUCUUUUACCAGGGAUGAUAAUGACAGUACCUGGAGAAUAAGCUCCGGCUAACUCCGUGCCAGCAGCCGCGGUAAUACGUAGGGACCAAGCGUUGUUCGGAUUUACUGGGCGUAAAGGGCGCGUAGGCGGCAAUUCAAGUCAUCUGUGAAAUCUCCGGGCUUAACUCGGAACGGUCAGAUGAUACUGCUUUGCUAGAGUGCAGAAGGGGCAAUCGGAAUUCUUGGUGUAGCGGUGAAAUGCGUAGAUAUCAAGAGGAACACCUGAGGCGAAGGCGGUUGCUGGGCUGAUACUGACGCUGAAGCGCGAAAGCUAGGGUAGCAAACGGGAUUAGAUACCCAAGUAGUCCCUGAGCGGGCUGGCAAGGCG